rnacentral:lncRNA from 1 species
CAGAAGCUAGCAGAGAUUGUUUCUGAUAUGAAGAAUAUGGAAACUUCUUGCACAUGUUAGCUUUUAGCCCACGUUCAGUUGAAUAUCAUUUAUAAUCUUAUUUUACAAUACAUCCAUUUGUGAAUAAGUUUUCUAUAAUGAAAUUUUCAGGUAAGAACGAACGGACGGAGUGUUUAAUACUUUUUGUAAUAUUUAGUAUUGUUGAUGACGAGAAAAUAAAUGACAAAGAUCUUGAUAUUCUCGUUGUUCCUCAAUACGGGAGAAACCCUGAUUAUGCUGGUUAAGUGUUAUAAUAUUACACUUUCGUGUUAUGUGUAAUUAAAUAAAAGGAUGGAGAAUGUUAUUAUCUGUCAAUAAUGUGAACAUCAGUUUUUGCUUAUGUACUUUGUUGUUAAUAAAUAAA